UGUCCUGUAGCGCAGUGGAUAGUGCGUUGGAUUUCUAAUCCAAAGGUCAUGGAAUCAAUUACCACAUGGGAUAG